GUGGGCGUGUCGGAGUAGUUAUCGGGCAUGACUAGAAAUCGUGUGGGCUUUGCUCGCGCAGGUUCGAAUCCUGCUGCUCAUA
rnacentral:tRNA from 1 species